rnacentral:rRNA from 1 species
UACGUAGGGGGCUAGCGUUGUCCGGAUUUAUUGGGCGUAAAGGGCGCGUAGGCGGCCAUGCGUGUCUUCCGUGAAAUCCCUCGGCUUAACUGAGGACGUGCGGAAGAAACUGCAAGGCUCGAGUCCGGGAGAGGGGGGGUGGAAUUCCCAGUGUAGCGGUGAAAUGCGUAGAUAUUGGGAGGAACACCGGUGGCGAAGGCGGCCCCCUGGACCGGUACUGACGCUGAGGCGCGAAAGCGUGGGUAGCAAACGGG